rnacentral:rRNA from 1 species
AUUACCGAGUGCGGGCUGCCUUCGGGCGCCCAACCUCCCACCCGUGACUACCUAACACUGUUGCUUCGGCGGGGAGCCCCCUUCCCGGGGGCGAGCCGCCGGGGACUACUGAACUUCAUGCCUGAGAGUGAUGCAGUCUGAGUCUGAAUAUAUAAAAUCAGUCAAAACUUUCAACAAUGGAUCUCUUGGUUCCGGCAUCGAUGAAGAACGCAGCGAACUGCGAUAAGUAAUGUGAAUUGCAGAAUUCAGUGAAUCAUCGAGUCUUUGAACGCACAUUGCGCCCCCUGGCAUUCCGGGGGGCAUGCCUGUCCGAGCGUCAUUGCUGCCCAUCAAGCCCGGCUUGUGUGUUGGGUCGUCGUCCCCCCCGGGGGACGGGCCCGAAAGGCAGCGGCGGCACCGUGUCCGGUCCUCGAGCGUAUGGGGCUUUGUCACCCGCUCGAUUAGGGCCGGCCGGGCGCCAGCCGACGUCUCCAACCAUUUUUCUUCAGGUUGACCUCGGAUCAGGUAGGGAUACCCGCUGAACUUAAGCAUAUCAAUAAGCGGAGGAAAAGAAACCAACCGGGAUUGCCCCAGUAACGGCGAGUGAAGCGGCAAGAGCUCAAAUUUGAAA